CCUACGGGGGGCAGCAGUCGAGAAUCAUUCACAAUGGGGGAAACCCUGAUGGUGCGACGCCGCGUGGGGGAAUGAAGGUCUUCGGAUUGUAAACCCCUGUCAUGUGGGAGCAAAUUAAAAAGAUAGUACCACAAGAGGAAGAGACGGCUAACUCUGUGCCAGCAGCCGCGGUAAUACAGAGGUCUCAAGCGUUGUUCGGAAUCACUGGGCGUAAAGCGUGCGUAGGCUGUUUCGUAAGUCGUGUGUGAAAGGCGCGGGCUCAACCCGCGGACGGCACAUGAUACUGCGAGACUAGAGUAAUGGAGGGGGAACCGGAAUUCUCGGUGUAGCAGUGAAAUGCGGAGAUAUCGAGGGAACCACUCGAGGCGAAGGCGGGUUCCUGGACAUUAACGGACGCGGAGGCACGAAGGCCAGGGGAGCGAAAGGGAUUAGAUACCCGUGUAGUC
rnacentral:rRNA from 1 species